GGGCUGCCCCCCUGACCCUCCCCGGUCCCCCCCCCAUUCUGCCUGGAGCUGUACAAGCCCCCCAGCUGCCGCGGCCAGAAGAUCAAGGCCUGCAAGACAGACGGCGAGGGCAAGGUGGUGGAGGGCCGGCACGGCUCCUACCGCAUCUCGGCCUCCAGCGCCGAGGAGCGGGACCAGUGGAUCGAGGCCAUCCGGGCCAGCAUCACCCGUGUCCCCUUCUACGACCUGGUCUCCGCUCGGAAGAAGAAGAUCGCCAGCAGGAAGUGAGGCUCCCGGGAGGUGGCACGGGGCCGGCACCCUGGUCCCCUGGACCUGUGGAACCCCUCCCCCAGGGCGCCCUCUCCGGGCCACAGACACCGCCACCCGCCAGGGGUGGGCAGGACGGAGGACACAGAGCCUGGCUGUGAGACCGACGCGCAGCUCUGGGGCGAGCCCGGAGCCCUGGCCCAGGCCCACUGCAGUGAGGGCCAGGAGAAGGGCGGAGAGAAGCCAGCUGGACCCGGACACCCAGCCCUCCCUGGGCAGCCUGUCCUCAGCCCUUUGCUCUCAGAAGCUCCGCAGCCCUCAAAGCAGGGGGCUGAGGCUCCUGGGGCUCCCGCCCUCGCCAGCCCUCCGCCUGCUCAGGUCUGCAGGUCGGGCCCCGCCCUCGCUGCCUGAGACCCACGAACAGGACCCAGGAGCCCAGACCCACGGUCCAGACCUACCUCUGGCCCUCCCCGCGCCCCCGGCCAAGCCGGGCCCCUCCCUGGUUCCUGCAGAACCACAGAGUUUGGACUGGAAACGUCUGGGCCUGCGGGUUCCAGGCCCACGAGCAGCUAGGGCCGGUGGCACUGGUCUGCUGAGCUGGGUGACAGUCCUGGCUGCUGGGGGAGCAGGGCGGACUCCACCCCAGGCUGUCCACCUGGGAGGCAGGACAGGCAGGACUCCAGCAGGACGGUGCUGCCAUCAGGGUGGAGCUUUGCAGGCCUGGUCCCCAGGAGGACUUCCUGGAGGCAGCGGCCAAACCCAGGAGCGGCACACGGGGUCUCCCUUGGUUUCCCUGCUGGACACGGUAGUGAGGGGUGGCGCAGCGGGUCCCAGCGCCCCAGGCCCUGCCCAGUGCAGCACAUGGGCGAGCAGGGCCACCAAGCCCUGGCAGACAGCUCCGUCUCCAGGGAGGCUCCGCCUGGAGGAGGAUCCGGGGACAGUCUUCCCAGAAGCUCUGCUCACCCUCGGGCAGGGGAGCCCUGCAGGGAGCCUCCCUGGCAAGGCAGCAGGAAGCGGGCAGCAGGGGCGGGCGGAGCAGUGGGUUCCCCAGGAGGAGCCGCAGUGGCCACAUGGCCCUCCGCCCCUCGCCCCGCCUUCGUGCACGCUGUCCAGGGGUCGGGUGGAGAGGCUACAGAAGGUGGUGGGAGCUCUUUCUGGAGAUGGCAGGUACCUGGCAGCCGUGUUGCACCCCUGCGGGCAUCGGCAGGACAUGUGGAGACUUCUUCAGAUCACAGCCUGUGGCGCCGUCCCAUUAGGCCAGUGAAAGGGCCUCAGGGGUCCGUGGAAGGAACACUGGCCGGGGGCUGAGGUCAAGGUCCUCUCCUGCCUCUGGCUCACGUGAACUCUGCGACCUUCAUCUAUUCCUGCCCUCGCUGGUCCCCAGCUCCUCCCAUCAGUAAAGGACAGGCACGAGUGGCUGAUCUGAUGGUCUCUCGGACGGAGGACAGAAUAAAGUCCCCGUCCAGCGCGCA
rnacentral:lncRNA from 1 species